CGAUGCUGCCAGCGUGACGUAUAAUCUAGUGAACGGUUCUUCAGAAACAGCUCGUCAACCACCUCGGUAGCUUGCUAGCCAACAUAGCCGAAAGAUUCAAGCUAUUUAUACGCUUUCGGUGUAUAUUAGCUACUGUGUUUUAGACACACUUCUGUCGUAUCUACUUGUUAACCUAUUUAAUUUAAUAUUACGUUAUUUUGUAUUAGUCAGCUAUAGUAGUUGGCUGUUUAAGUUAGCACUAGCCUAGUCGCUAAUGAUAGCUAGCUAGCUAACAUCCCCGAACAUGAGCUCCCUAAACUACUCUCCUCCUGUUAAAGAAGAGGAGGUCUGCUGGACGGAGAAAGAAGCUCUGGGGCUGAACAUUGUCGUGAAAGAGGAGAAGGAAGAGGAGGAUAUCACAGUUAAACAAGAAGUAGAGGGUGAUGCUGUUACAGAGAAAGAGGAAGACGCGUUCAGAGUGAAAGAGGAGGAAGAGAAAGACGAGGAUGCCGUUUUUGGAGUGAAGAAGGAAGGGGAGAUUACUGUCACAUUGAAAGAUGAAGAUGAAGAGGUGGAGAUAGGAGAUCUGAUUAAAACCAGAGAGAGACUGGACUAUUGUGGAUCCUCUGGGGAGCCUCAACAACAUCACGAUGCAGAGCAGAGUCUCUCCACAUCAAAACAUCUCAAGAAACACCUGCAGAGAUCCACAGGGAAUAAAUCUCACUGCUGCUCUGACUGUGGGAAGAGUUACUCAAGAUCAGAUUCACUUAAACUACACCAGAGAAUUCACACAGGUGAUAAAUCUCACUGCUGCUCUGAUUGUGGGAAAUGUUGCAAAUCUUCAUCAGAACUUAAAAUACAUCUGAGAAAUCACACAGGAGAGAAACCUUACUGCUGCUCUGACUGUGGGAAACGUUUCUCAAGAUCAGAUUCACUAAAACUGCACCAGAGAAUUCACACAUGUGAUAAAUCUCACUGCUGCUCUGAUUGUGGGAAAUGUUGCAAAUCUUCAUCAGAACUUAUUAUACACCUGAGAAAUCACACGGGAGAGAAACCUUACUGCUGCUCUGACUGCGGGAAAUGUUUCUCAAGAUCAGAUUCACUAAAAGUUCACCUGAGAAUACACACUGGAGGGAAAUCUCACUGCUGCUCUGAAUGUGGGAAGAGAUUCAACUCUUCAGUAGACCUUAAAAUGCAUCAAAGAAUUCACACAGGAGAGAAACCUUUUGGCUGUGAUCACUGUGGGAAUAGUUUUACUCAGCAAAGCAACCUAAAAUCACACCAGAGAAUACACACAGGAGAGAAACCUUAUGGCUGUGAUCAAUGUGGAAAGCGUUUUUCUCAGCAAAGUAACCUGAAAUCACACCAGAGAAUACACACUGGGGAGAAACCUUAUGGCUGUGAUCAAUGUGGGAAGAGUUUUACUUUGUCAAGCUGCCUGAUAGUGCACCAGAGAACACACACUGGAGAGAAACCUUUUAGCUGUGAUCAAUGUGGGAAAUGUUUUGUUACAUCUGGCAAUCUGAUUGUACACCAGAGAACACACACAGGAGAGAAACCUUAUAGCUGUAAUCAAUGUGGGAAGAGUUUUACUCAGUCAAGCAGCCUAAUAGUACAUGAGAGAACACACACACAGUAGAGAAGCUUCACCACUUCAGAUUGUGGGAAAAGCUUUUCAACAUGAAACACUUUGAAGCUGCACCAGAGAACACACACAGGAGAAAAAUCUCUUAGCUGUAAUCAAUAUGUGAAUGGUGUUACUUGGCUAAACAGCCAAUUGAAAGAGUACUAUUUAUAUGAUUUAACAGAAAGUGACUAACAAAAAAAGUGUUGCGUUACACUUACCAUGUUGGUGACCAACUUGAAUCAAAAUGUAGCUAAUUUGGCCUCUAACCAGGGAUGUUCCAAUUAUUCCCAAAUUCCGUGUGGUUUAUGAGCUGUUAGUUUUAACAGGACGUGCAACCUCAUCUCCCUCCUCUCUGCACAAUUGAUUUCAACAUGAUAUUGAUGAGUUAUGACAAAUAAGUGUUGUGUUCCUUUGUUUAGCGACCCCUACAUUUAAAUGCAUCUCCAAAAUGUAGCUGACUGUCUUCGGCAGGUUGUCCUCUAACUAGUGAGGUAAAAGAUAUCUCCCAUUUCUAUGUGUUUUUUUUAGUUGUGUUAGUUUCAACAGCAUGUACAACCUGAUUUCCCCCCUAAUCGAUAUCAGUGAUUUAUUGCUACUUGUCAAAACAACAGCGUUUUUGGUGCUUGUGCAGUUUAUAAGGAGCUUGUUUAAAUAAAUACAAGUAAUAUGAUUAUUGUGGCAGAUGUUUGUGUAUAUAGCACAUUUUACGUUUAGGUUUUGAAUAUAUCACAAACUGUUUCUGCAUAUUGGUUAUUGAUUGGGACAUGUUAAAACUGUGUUUUGACAUUGGGCUAUCCCACCUAGUAAAAUUGUAGUUUUUCAAUGACUUGAAAACAACUUAAUUUCAAUGUACUUGCAGCCUAUACACAUGGACACAGUAUAAUAAAUUGGUCUAUAAUCAAUUUUAUUAACAAUCCUACAUCACUCCAGUAUUUCUUGACAACAUUUAAAUGCUAAUUGUCUUUAUUCCACUACUGAAGAAGUAUGACUCAAAUCACCUCAUAUUUCAAACAUCCAGCCUGACAAAAUAUACAUGUUUUAUUAUUCCAUCCCUCACCACUAAGUGAAUGUAUUGCCAAUACAUAUUAACAAAGGGGUGUACAUUUGGUGUUCAUAUUUACAUUUCGUAAUCAUAAUUAUUUAUACGACUUUUUCGGUACAAUUAUAUUGACAUUGUUAUCCUGCUUUUAUAAUAUCAGGGUUCAUUCUCAGAUGUGCCAACCCAAAUGUACCAGAGCAUGACAUUGGGGACUGGGCCCAGAUCCAACAACAUGCCUACCUCGUGAACCCUGAAAAGAGAGAGAAGCUCCACGGUUGAAAGGGGUGUUUCUUGGCUGUAAAAGACCUUUGUACUUUCAUCUGGGGGUGAUUUGUCGACCAGCCAUCAUUAUCGCAGAGACUCAAUUGAUUCACUUUAUAUGUGUGCGUUGUAUUGCCCUGCUCCCAUAUUAAAUGAAUAAAGAUUUAGUUUAAGAAUAA